rnacentral:lncRNA from 10 species
CAAAACUGAGUGUUGCCUGCUUUCAAGGUUGACCUCUGAAGGUCUCCUACUGUUUCGUCUCCUUGCUCCCUGGGGAGAGCCGCUAAGUCUUUUGUUGACAGCUGAAGGCAGGAUGAAAUAAAAUCUCCAUUUGACAUGCUUAUAAAUCAGUUUUCCUAUGGGACAAGAUUGUUGGUGUUGGGUGCUCAUUGAAAAUAGUCUUACUGAUCAGAAAACUAACACAAUUGGUUCUUUAUUCACCUGAGGAUUCAGAUUGACUAAUCGAAGAUGAAUUCAUCUUGUAAUCUUUUAAAAAUAUGACAAAUGAUUAAAAAAACUUUUGUGGAAGAUGUCUGCAGAAGUUUCUAAUUUAAGAUUCAAUCUGAUUUUCAGAAAUGAUAUUUUGAUCUUGGGCUUGAGGGUCAUAAUUUCCUCUUUAAAAUGGACAUUAAAAUUCAGCACACAUUUGGAGUACAAGGAAGGGUGAUGAUCACAGAUAAGUUUUUCUUAUAAUUUUUUUCUAUUUGAAUACAUCUUAUUUCAAAAGAGAAUUCUUGCUUUUUAAUUUUGGAUACAGUGUAGGCUAAAUCCAACACUGUGGCAUCUUGACUACGGUGGCCUGCUCAAUUAAUUCUGAACAGUAAAUUGCCUUUUACAGGUCUUCAGGUAGCUGGGUAAGAAGCGGCAAGGCAAACAAAGGGUCCUGGUAAUUGAAAACAACUGGUAAGGAUUGUUUUUCUUUUCUUUCAUGUUCUUCCUAAUUGAUGUGCUGAUUUGUAUAUGAACCUACAGAUGAGUCAAACCUAAGCAUUCGGCAUUGGGAGCACUGUCACUAAAACUGCAGCCUCAUUCAACAACACAUCCUUAUCGAGCACUUGCAGGUACUCCAUUGAAUGUUAGAAAUGCAUUGAUGAUGGAGACACAGCACCGGCUCAUGAGGACCUUCCAGCCUAGGCAGCAGGACUGGACAUACGCACUUUGAUUUAUUUUUAGAAAUUGGCUUAUGCAAGUGUGGGGCUGGCAAGUCUAACAACUGCAGGGCAGGUCAGGAGGCUGGAGACCCAGGGAAGAGUUGAUGCUGCAGUCUCUAGUCUGAAGGCAGUGCAGAGGCAGAAUUCCCUCUUUCUCGGAGGAUCUCAGGCUUUUUCUCCUAAGUCCUUCAACCAAGUGGAUGAGGCCACCCGCAUUAGAGAAGGGAAAGCUAGCUGAUAUGUUAUGAGGACAUUUGAGCAGCCCCAUGGAGAAGUCCACGUGGAAGGAACUGAGGCCUCUUGCUACCGUUAUGUGAGUGAGCCAUCUUGGAAGCAGAUCCUCCAGCCUGGUUGAUCCUUUGGAUGACUGCAGCCCCAGGUGCCAUCUUGACUACAACAUCAGGAAAGAUUCCAAAUUAGACUCCCCCAUCCCAGGCCUGGCCCAGAGAAAGAGAUGAAAGCUGACACGCAGCUCUCAGAAUCACCCUUGCUAUCAGGUUUGGCUUCUGGAGCUGAUGGGAAUCUGAGAGACGUCAGGGUAGAAGCCGCCUGUCUUGAUAAAGAAACAAGACACAAAUACUUCGAGUGCACAGCUGUUUGACAGAAGAGCCCAGAAUAGAGACUUUCCUACUGAGUCGUGACAAGAGGGAAGAGAAAGAUAAAGUCAAAAAGGAAGAGAAGAUGAUGAGGUUGAGGAAGCUUGUGUUAAUAAUUCAUUCUCUAUUUGUGUUGUUCAGAAUUUGAGAAUGGUUUUGGAUAAAUUAUUCAUGGCGGAAGGUAAAGAAAACAUCAGAUGCCAUAGUACAUCUGAUCUGACCCUUUUGAGAAGCACAAUUUCCUGGGUCCAGUGCAGUAUAAUGAAAUUAGUCCAUCAAGGAUCUUUGAAUAUAUUCACUGAUCAUCCUCUGUAGACAUCCUGACAUAGCCUAGAAAAUAAAGUCAGCAUCCUCCUCAAGUGAUUAUUAUGCAUCCACUUGCAAAAUAAGCCUGAAGAAAUGUCUGCUUCCCGAAGUUCGCUGAUUACUCCUCUCUGACACAUUGGCUAGGUGAAUAUGAAACACUGGGUUUCUGUACAUGACAAAAACAAGAGACUGUGCCUCCCAGGGUGAGAGGACAUUGGUGAAAAUAAGCUAGGGACUCAUUCCUGAUGAUUGUACUGUUUCAGCACCUAGUACACUCCCAUAUAAUUUGUAGGGACUUACAAAAAGGCUUGAUGAAUGAAGGG